GAUGAACGCUGGCGGCGUGGAUAAGGCAUGCAAGUCGAACGGGAUCUUCGGAUCUAGUGGCGGACGGGUGAGUAACACGUGGGAACGUGCCCUUUGGUUCGGAAUAACUCAGGGAAACUUGAGCUAAUACCGGAUGUGCCCUUCGGGGGAAAGAUUUAUCGCCAUUGGAGCGGCCCGCGUUGGAUUAGCUAGUUGGUGGGGUAAAGGCCCACCAAGGCUACGAUCCAUAGCUGGUCUGAGAGGAUGAUCAGCCACACUGGGACUGAGACACGGCCCAGACUCCUACGGGAGGCAGCAGUGGGGAAUCUUGCGCAAUGGGCGAAAGCCUGACGCAGCCAUGCCGCGUGAAUGAUGAAGGUCUUAGGAUUGUAAAAUUCUUUCACCGGGGACGAUAAUGACGGUACCCGGAGAAGAAGCCCCGGCUAACUUCGUGCCAGCAGCCGCCGUAA
rnacentral:rRNA from 1 species